CCUACGGGAGGCAGCAGUAGGGAAUAUUGCUCAAUGGGAGAAACCCUGAAGCAGCAACGCCGCGUGGAGGAUGAAGGUUUUCGGAUUGUAAACUUCUUUUCAGAGGGAAGAGCAGAAGACGGUACCUCUUGAAUAAGCCACGGCUAACUACGUGCCAGCAGCCGCGGUAAUACGUAGGUGGCAAGCGUUGUCCGGAUUUACUGGGUGUAAAGGGCGUGCAGCCGGGAAGACAAGUCAGAUGUGAAAUCCCGCGGCUCAACCGCGGAACUGCAUUUGAAACUGUUUUUCUUGAGUACCGGAGAGGUCAUCGGAAUUCCUGGGGUAGCGGUGAAAUGCGUAGAUAGAAGGAAGAACACCAGUGGCGAAGGCGGAUGACUGGACGGCAACUGACGGUGAGGCGCGAAAGCGUGGGGAGCAAACAGGAUUAGAUACCCGAGUAGUC
rnacentral:rRNA from 1 species